AGUCUGGGAGUGUUUAUAUCCCGGUGAGUUGAACACUUCAUGACUGAGAGCUGUCCUUCAUGACAACAGAACCCACAACAAACAUGACUUUUAUCACCAUCUUCAUCUGGACACUUGCUUUCUGCUUCAAGGAAUCUAGAGGACAAAUCACUGUGACUCAGACACCUACAGUGAAAACUGUUCUCGCCGGACAGCCAGUCUCUAUGAACUGUAAAACCAGCAGUGAUGUGUAUCCUGAUUGUUGGAGUUCAGGUAAACCAUGUUUAGCCUGGUAUCAACAGAAACCUGGAGAAACUCCUAAACUACUGGUCUACUAUGGAAGCACCCUCUUCUCUGGGACUCCAUCUAGAUUCAGUGGUAGUGGAUCUGGGAGUGACUUCACUCUGACCAUCAGUGGAGUCCAGGCUGAAGAUGCAGGAGAUUACUACUGUCAGAGUUACCACUACAUCAACAGUAAACAUGUGUUCACACAGUGAUACAGAGCCAUACAAAAACCUCCCUCAGUCAGACUGUACAGUGACUGUCC